CUCCCCGCAGCCAAACGCAUCCUUAGGUCUCUUCGCUGAUGACUUCUAUUUGUGGCGGUCAGGCUUUCACCCAAGCCCGAGGGGCCGUCCCCGCCACCCCCAUCAGACAGGACUCCCCCUCUGCUCCCCUCCUCGUCCCCCUGCCCCUGCCUCCCCGCCUUCACCCUGUGCGGGUACUGCUGCCCCGAGCGCCCGGAUCGCCCACCGUCCCUCCCCCCAUCCGCAUCCGAGCGCCUCUGCUCCCCAGGGCGCCGCACGCAGCCAGGGGCCAGGCGGGAAGCCGGAGCCCGCCGCCUGCCCAGGGCCGCGGGUAGCUUCUCCGCGGUCCCGCGCGGCACCCUCUUCGGGCACCAGCUCCUGAACUUGGCCGGAAACGAACCCGUCCUCUAGAGCGGAAAGCUGCCGGCUUGUUGGGUGCUAGCAAGAGUCUAUCCAGGGUCGAGGUUCGGUGUGUUUGUUUCCACGUGCCUCUGUCCUAACCGGCUCCGCCCCCAAUUUUCAAGUGUACAAGCUCGCCUUCCGCGCCAACUGUUGGAGUUCACCGUGGUGACCAUCUGACAUGUCUCAAACAGCUGCCUCAAAGCAUCCUUCCUCCAGAUGCCCCCUUCCCACCUUCCAGGGUGAGAACGUGUUCCUUUAACACUCAGCAAACCUAGGAUGGGGACAAGGGAACUCAUGUGCAGUCGGGGGAGCAAGGGAACGAAAACACAGUCACUGCCCUCGAGGGACUUCUGAUUUUGUGGGAGAUACGGACGGGCAAGCAGCUGCCCAGGAGAUACCUGUCAUUGCUGUUUGCCAGUUGCAUCCUGGGGAGAAAGCAGGGCUAUAAAACAAGCAAACACACAAAGAAGAAUAUGCGACAGAAACUAGAUGUCCACCCUGUGGCCAUGUGUGAUCUGUGAACCAUCUCUUCUGUUGGCUGCAGGAAUCCUGGUGAAAGGUGCCUUUUCUUCCAUCCAGGCAGCAGUGACAAGAGGCAAGCAUAAAAUUAUGACACAGGUUACAAUUGCUGGUGAAAUACAGGUACCUACCUCCCACGGGGAGAAGCUGUUGAGAGAACCGGCUGGGACACCAUCUCAGAAAAAAAUCAAUAAAGUCAGCUGUCCUAAUAAAUACAACAUUUCAACAAUGUUAGUCAAAGACUCUUAAGGCUUGCUGUGUGCUGUUUGCAACACUGGAAGGUGACACAGAGAUGUUGGCCUCUUCCUAGGGG